rnacentral:rRNA from 1 species
GACGAACGCUGGCGGCGUGCUUGACACAUGCAAGUCGAACGGAAAGGCCUGCUUUCCCUUGUGGAUUGCGGGUACUCGAGUGGCGAACGGGUGAGUAACACGUGAGUGAUCUGCCCCCAACUUGGGUAUAAGCCUGGGAAACUGGGUCUAAUUCCCGAUAGGACUGCAGGGUGGUGCCUGUGGUGGAAAACGAUUUUCUAGUGGUUGGGGAUGAGCUCGCGGCCUAUCAGCUUGUUGGUGGGGUAAUGGCCUACCAAGGCGGCGACGGGUAGCCGGCCUGAGAGGGUGGACGGCCACAUUGGGACUGGGAUACGGCCCGGACUCCUACGGGAGGCAGCAGUGGGGAAUAUUGCACAAUGGGCGGAAGCCUGAUGCAGCGACGCCGCGUGGGGGAUGACGGCCUUCGGGUUGUAAACUCCUUUCGACCGCGAGGAAGCCACCUGGUUGGAAGGGUGGUGACGGUAGUGGUAGAAGAAGCACCGGCUAACUACGUG